GACGAACGCUGGCGGCGUGCUUAACACAUGCAAGUCGAACGGAAGGGCCCUGCUUUUGUGGGUUGCUCGAUUGGCGAACGGGUGAGUAACACGUGAGUAACCUGCCCUUGACUUUGGGAUAACUUCAGGAAACUGGGGCUAAUACCGGAUAGGAGCUCCUGCUGCAUGGUGGGGGUUGGUAAGUGUCGGCGGUAGGGGAUGGUCUCGCGGGUUAUCAGCUUGUUUGGGGGGUAGGUGCUUACCAAGGCUUUGACGGGUAGGCGGCCUGAGAGGGGGGCCGGCGACCUGGGGCCUGCGGGACGGACCAGUAGGCUACGGGAGGCAGCAGUCGAGAGUCUUGCGCAGCGGCCCGAAGCCUGAGGCAGCGGCGCCCCGUGCGGGAUACUGGCUUACGAGUUAUAAACCGAUUUCGCAUGUGACGAAGCGUGAGUGACGGUACUGGGUCAAGAAGCACCGGCUAACUACGUG
rnacentral:rRNA from 1 species